rnacentral:lncRNA from 1 species
AAUUGUCUGCAAGGCUAAAUUUCCAUGACCGUGUGCAGUCACCCUCGGAAAUCAGCAGAUGACCACUCCUAGCCCACUUGAAUCACUGAACCAGGUGUGAGAGUGCAUUCAUUCAUCCAUCGUUGAGUCAGAGUCUGCAGGCCAGACCUCCACAGGUGGUGACUGACGUCUCACACACACUUCUUAAUCAGAAACCUGGACCCUCCAUCAAGUGAACCUACUGGCAUGUAGACCUCAGAUAAGAAGGAACUGAAGACUGAAUUCUGAUCACUGU